CAGUCGCCACGGUAAUACGAAGGGUGCAAGCGUUACUCGGAAUUACUGGGCGUAAAGCGUGCGUAGGUGGUGGUUUAAGUCCGUUGUGAAAGCCCUGGGCUCAACCUGGGAAUUGCAGUGGAUACUGGAUCACUAGAGUGUGGUAGAGGAUAGUGGAAUUUCCGGUGUAGCAGUGAAAUGCGUAGAGAUCGGAAGGAACAUCUGUGGCGAAGGCGACUAUCUGGGCCAACACUGACACUGAGGCACGAAAGCGUGGUGAGCAAACAGGAUUAGAUACCCCUGUAGUCCCUGUCUCUUAUAC
rnacentral:rRNA from 1 species